CCUACGGGUGGCAGCAGUGGGGGAUAUUGCACAAUGGGGGGAACCCUGAUGCAGCGACGCCGCGUGCGCGAGUAGUACCCCGGUAUGUAAAGCUCUAUCAGCAGGGAAGAAAAUGACGGUACCUGACUAAGAAGCCCCGGAUAAAAACGUGCCAGCAGCCGCGGAGAUACGUAUGGGGCAAGCGGUAUCCGGAUUUACUGGGGGUAAAGGGAGCGCAGGCGGCCUGCCAAGUCUGGGGUGAAAACCCGGGGACCAACCCCGGGCCUGCAUUGGAAACUGGCGGGCUGGAGUGUACGAGGGGCAGGCGGAAUUCGUAGUGUAGCGGUGAAAUGCGUAGAUAUUAGGAGGAACACCGGUGGCGAAGGCGGCCUGCUGGACGAUGACUGACGCUGAGGCUCGAAAGCGUGGGGAGCAAACAGGAUUAGAUACCCUGGUAGUC
rnacentral:rRNA from 1 species